rnacentral:rRNA from 1 species
UACAGAGGCCUCAAGCGUUGUUCGGAUUCAUUGGGCGUAAAGGGUGCGUAGGUGGCGGGGUAAGUCAGGUGUGAAAUCUCGAGGCUCAACCUCGAAACUGCACUUGAUACUGCCUUGCUCGAGUACUGGAGAGGAGAUUGGAAUUUACGGUGUAGCAGUGAAAUGCGUAGAUAUCGUAAGGAAGACCAGUGGCGAAGGCGAAUCUCUGGACAGUUACUGACACUGAGGCACGAAGGCCAGGGGAGCAAACGGG